CUGGUCUGUCCUGCAGCGCGGAUGAAAAUGCUGACGAUUUCCUGCUGCCUGCCGUGAUCUUGAAGAUUUUUCCCAAGUGAACGGGGCCUCAGUUGGUUUUUUCAUCUCGCGUCCGCUCGUCUCGAACUGUCGCGCUGCGCGUCCGGCUUUAACUUUUGGAACUUGUGAACUUUUGAGAAUAGAGUUGAUUCUGGAAUACUGCGGGAGGAUGCAGAUGCUGGGAGGUAAGUGAUUACCAAAAUUAAUUUUGCACAAAUGGCCGAAAAAGGUGGAAAGUAAAAAAAAUGAAAAGAAAAAAAAUUAUUUUAACUCGUUAGAUAAAAAAAACGACGCUUAAGCUAUGAUUAUUUAAACGUCCCUAGUUGACGGUUGUAAGCGCUCGCCCGGCUCGAGAUUACAAUUGUCAACUAGCGAGGUGAGGUUUAUUUUAGCACUCAAAAAAAAGAUUUAAAAAAAAACCUGUAAAUGAGUAAAAAAUAAAUAAAUAAAUUUUCGUUAAUUUUUAAAAAAAGUCUGAAAAACAGUUUUUAAAAAAAGUCUGAAAAUGGAAAUUUUGAUUAGGGUUAACACGGGGAACAAAAAAAGAGCAGGCAAAAAUUGAUUAAUAUCAAGAUUGAUAAAGGGGUAUGGGCAAGACUAUAAUUUUUAACUUUAAACUUAAUCUUCCUUUUUUUUUAAAAAAUUGUUCUCCAGCGUUCCGUGGGUAUUUAAGUACCGUGAUUAAAUGGGAAAUGAGAGAACCGAUAAAAAUCAAAACUGAAUUCGGAGUUACUCGAUGGAACAAUAUCAAGAUAAAACUAAGAAAGAAAAAAAAACUAAUUUAAAAUCUAAAGAGAAAACUAAAAUCGGUGAAAAGGAAGAUAAUGAUAAAAAUUUUAAAAAUUUCCAAAGGGUUUUCAAAGAUAUGGAAUGAAAAUCGAUCGUGAGAAAUGGUUAAACUUUGAAAGAAAUUUCGAAAAUUUUGAUAAAAAAAAAACUGAAUGAACCAAA